rnacentral:rRNA from 1 species
UACGUAGGGUGCAAGCGUUGUCCGGAAUUAUUGGGCGUAAAGAGCUCGUAGGCGGCCUGUUGCGUCCGCUGUGAAAGCCCGGGGCUUAACCCCGGGUCGGCAGUGGAUACGGGCAGGCUAGAGGUAGGUAGGGGAGAAUGGAAUUCCCGGUGUAGCGGUGAAAUGCGCAGAUAUCGGGAGGAACACCGGUGGCGAAGGCGGUUCUCUGGGCCUUACCUGACGCUGAGGAGCGAAAGCGUGGGGAGCAAACAGG